AUUGAACGCUGGCGGCAUGCCUUACACAUGCAAGUCGAACGGUAACAGGUCUUCGGAUGCUGACGAGUGGCGAACGGGUGAGUAAUACAUCGGAACGUGCCCGACCGUGGGGGAUAACGAAGCGAACGCUUUGCUAAUACCGCAUAAGAUCUACGGAUGAAAGCAGGGGACCGCAGGGCCUUGCGCGAACGGAGCGGCCGGUGGCAGAUUAGGUAGGUGGUGGGAUAAAAGCUUACCAAGCCGACGAUCUGUAGCUGGUCUGAGAGGACGAGCAGCCACACUGCGACUGAGAGACGGCCCAGACUGCUACGGGAGGCAGCAGUGGGGAAUUUUGGAAAAUGGGCGAUAGCCUGAUCCUACCAUGCCGCGUGCAGGAUGAAGGCCUUCGGGUUGUAAACUGCUUUGGUACGGAACGAAAAGACUCUUUCUAAUAAAGAGGGUCCAUGACGGUACCGUAAGAAUAAGCACCGGCUAACUACGUGCCAGCCGCCGCAGUAAGAC
rnacentral:rRNA from 1 species